rnacentral:rRNA from 1 species
CCUACGGGUGGCUGCAGUAAGGAAUAUUGGUCAAUGGACGGAAGUCUGAACCAGCCAUCCCGCGUGCAGGAAGAAGGUCCUAUGGAUUGUAAACUGCUUUUAGCAGAGACGAAACGCCUUCAUUUAUGGGGGUUUGACGGUAUCUGCGGAAUAAGCACCGGCUAACUCCGUGCCAGCAGCCGCGGUAAUACGGAGUGUGCAAGCGUCAUCCGGAAUCACUGGUGUUAAAGGGUGCGUAGGCGGGGGUGGAGAAAUCCUGUAGCUUAACUACAGAAUUGCCAAUGAUACUGAUUUUCUUGAAUUGGGUUGAGGUUAGCGGAAUGUGACAUGUAACGGUGAAAUGUUUAGAUAUGUCAUGGAACACCGAUUGCGAAGGCAGCUAGCUGGGCCUUGAUUGACGCUGAGGCACGAAAGCGUGGGUAGCGAACAGGAUUAGAUACCCGAGUAGUC